rnacentral:misc_RNA from 1 species
UGUGGGAGCUGGCUUGCCUGCGAUAGCGGUGGACCCGCCAGCUCAUCUUUUACUGGCCCACCGUUAUCGCAGGCAAGCCAGCUCCCACA